UGUCACCAAAACAUUAUUUUUCUCCACUCAUCUCUUCCUCUUUACAUCAUCUCUACUUUCCUCUCCAUUAGGCCUCCUCCAUGCCAUGGUUUCCUCCUCCUCCUCCUCCUCGAAGCACUGCAAGAAAAACGACUCAUUCAAUGGCUGCUCCAACCCCACCAAGAAACCAAGACUUUCUUUCAUUUCUGACUCUGAAAUCCAAUCAGAGUUCUCCCACCAUGACCAAACCAUCUCUCGGAUUAACAACGGCAGCUUUGGGAGCUGUCCUCAAUCUGUCAUCUCUGCCCAGCAAAGCUUCCAGCUCCAGUUCCUCCGCCAGCCUGAUCACUUCUACUUCAACACCCUCCAAUCUUCUAUCCUUCAUUCACGUUCCAUCAUCAAAUCUUUGGUAAACGCUCGUUCUGUUGAUGAAAUCUCCCUUGUGGACAAUGCCACCACUGCUGUUGCCAUUGUUUUACAGAACUAUGCAUGGGGUUUUACUGAAGGGAGAUUUAACAAAGGAGAUGUUGCUGUCAUGUUGCAUUAUGCUUAUGGUGCUGUAAAAAAGUCUGUUCAGGCUUAUGUGACGCGUGCUGGAGGGGAAGUUAUUGAGGUACAGUUACCUUUCCCUAUUACAUCAAAGGAAGAGAUCGUGAGUGAAUUUAGAAAGGCUUUAGAGAGAGGGAAAGAAAAUGGGAAGAAGAAAGUUAGGUUGGCUGUGAUUGAUCAUGUUACUUCAAUGCCAAGUGUUGUUAUUCCUGUUAAAGAAUUAGUUAAGAUUUGUAGAGAGGAAGGUGUUGAUCAGGUUUUUGUUGAUGCUGCUCAUGGAAUUGGGUGUGUUGAUGUUGAUGUGAGAGAUAUUGGGGCUGAUUUUUAUACUAGUAAUUUGCAUAAGUGGUUUUUUUGCCCUCCUUCUAUUGCCUUUUUGUAUUGCAGGAAGAGAGGAGAGGAGGGCAAUGGGGGUGAUCUGCAUCACCCUGUCGUGUCUCAUGAGUAUGGUAAUGGAUUGGCUGUAGAGAGUGCUUGGAUUGGGACUAGGGAUUAUAGUGCUCAAUUGGUUGUUCCAGCGGUUUUGGAGUUUAUUAAUAGGUUUGAAGGUGGGAUUGACGGAAUUAAGGAGAGGAAUCAUGAAAAAGUUGUGGAGAUGGGGGAGAUGUUGGUGAAAGCUUGGGGGACUAAUCUUGGGUCUCCGCCGGAGAUGUGUGGGAGUAUGAUUAUGGUUGGAUUGCCUGCUUGUUUGGGGAUUUCGAGCGAGUCGGAUUCUUUGAAGUUAAGGACACAUUUGAGAGAGCAUUUCCAGGUUGAAGUUCCUAUUUAUUUUAGAGCUCCGCUUGAUGGAGAAGGUGGUUCAAUUACUGGCUAUGCUCGGAUUUCUCAUCAAGUUUACAACAAGGUUGAGGAUUAUUACAGGUUUAGGGAUGCAGUUAACCAACUGAUCAGUGAUGGCUUCACUUGUGCAUCUCUCUCUGAUUGAAGAGGGAGGAUCAUUUUUUGCUUGCCAUCGCCAAUAUACUCUGCUGGUUCUGUUGCUGUCCACUCAUGAUAACGCUGUGGAGUAAUGCCUUGUUCAGAUUUUCUGGUGAUAGAUUCAGCAGUGAAACUUUUUAGAUUGUUUCUAUGCAUUUAAACCGUGACAAUGGCUAGUGAUGACAUUUCUAGAAAUUUUGCAUGAGGAGAAGUAUAAAGAAUACAGAAACGCACAACUUACUUAAACCACCCGUCAAGCUUGAGUCAAAUCAAUUAGUAAAGAUCUGUGAAAUGAAUCUGAUCUUCUUAACCAAUUAAUGAACAUCCGUCACAAUGAUUUGUUGUCUUGUUUGUCUACAUAUUAGUCAAGUACUGUCUAUCCAUCUACCAUAAUGAUAUCACAGGUUUACUUUCCUAGAGCAGCUAUACCUUUCCAGUUUCGGACUUCUCUUCUCCAGUUCAACGAGGUAUGGUAGAAGUGUUCCAAUAAAUUACAGCAAGUGGCCAUGGUUUCGGUACCAUGACUCGCAAAAGUUGACGAACAAACUUGAGAUUGAUGAUGAGUAUCAGAGCUCCAAGAUUGUUCCUCUACUUUCUUUCUUUUGAAUUUGUAGAGGAGAUGAACUUGUCUGUUCUUCUCCCAAGUGAUAUCCUUGUAAAUUAUCAUUAACCUAUUUUAAUUCUUGUAGGGCUCAAAAAAGCUGGAGCUUAUCACAUUUAACAGUUGACCUUAACUAUCAGUUUGUGUGCUUGUAUUGUAACCCAAUAUGCCGUGGAGAUUGUAUCUGAUAUAUGUAUUAGAUUUCUGGUUUUUGUGUU